rnacentral:rRNA from 1 species
AGGGUUUGAUUAUGGCUCAGGAUGAACGCUGGCGGCGUGCUUAACACAUGCAAGUCGAACGGGAUCGGCUGGAGCUUGCUCCGGCCGUGAGAGUGGCGAACGGGUGAGUAAUGCGUGACCGACCUGCCCCGUACACCGGAAUAGCUCCUGGAAACGGGUGGUAAUGCCGGAUGCUCCAGUCCAUCGCAUGGUGGUCUGGGAAAGAUUUUAUCGGUAUGGGAUGGGGUCGCGUCCUAUCAGGUAGUCGGCGGGGUAACGGCCCACCGAGCCUACGACGGGUAGCCGGCCUGAGAGGGCGACCGGCCACAUUGGGACUGAGAUACGGCCCAG